GAUGAACGCUGGCGGCGUGCCUAAUACAUGCAAGUCGAGCGAACGGACGAGAAGCUUGCUUCUCUGAUGUUAGCGGCGGACGGGUGAGUAACACGUGGAUAACCUACCUAUAAGACUGGGAUAACUUCGGGAAACCGGAGCUAAUACCGGAUAAUAUUUUGAACCGCAUGGUUCAAAAGUGAAAGACGGUCUUGCUGUCACUUAUAGAUGGAUCCGCGCUGCAUUAGCUAGUUGGUAAGGUAACGGCUUACCAAGGCAACGAUGCAUAGCCGACCUGAGAGGGUGAUCGGCCACACUGGAACUGAGACACGGUCCAGACUCCUACGGGAGGCAGCAGUAGGGAAUCUUCCGCAAUGGGCGAAAGCCUGACGGAGCAACGCCGCGUGAGUGAUGAGGGUCUUCGGAUCGUAAAACUCUGUUAUUAGGGAAGAACAUAUGUGUAAGUAACUGUGCACAUCUUGACGGUACCUAAUCAGAAAGCCACGGCUAACUACGUGCCAGCAGCCGCGGUAAUACGUAGGUGGCAAGCGUUAUCCGGAAUUAUUGGGCGUAAAGCGCGCGUAGGCGGUUUUUUAAGUCUGAUGUGAAAGCCCACGGCUCAACCGUGGAGGGUCAUUGGAAACUGGAAAACUUGAGUGCAGAAGAGGAAAGUGGAACUCCAUGUGUAGCGGUGAAAUGCGCAGAGAUAUGGAGGAACACCAGUGGCGAAGGCGACUUUCUGGUCUGUAACUGACGCUGAUGUGCGAAAGCGUGGGGAUCAAACAGGAUUAGAUACCCUGGUAGUCCACGCCGUAAACGAUGAGUGCUAAGUGUUAGGGGGUUUCCGCCCCUUAGUGCUGCAGCUAACGCAUUAAGCACUCCGCCUGGGGAGUACGACCGCAAGGUUGAAACUCAAAGGAAUUGACGGGGACCCGCACAAGCGGUGGAGCAUGUGGUUUAAUUCGAAGCAACGCGAAGAACCUUACCAAAUCUUGACAUCCUUUGACAACUCUAGAGAUAGAGCCUUCCCCUUCGGGGGACAAAGUGACAGGUGGUGCAUGGUUGUCGUCAGCUCGUGUCGUGAGAUGUUGGGUUAAGUCCCGCAACGAGCGCAACCCUUAAGCUUAGUUGCCAUCAUUAAGUUGGGCACUCUAAGUUGACUGCCGGUGACAAACCGGAGGAAGGUGGGGAUGACGUCAAAUCAUCAUGCCCCUUAUGAUUUGGGCUACACACGUGCUACAAUGGACAAUACAAAGGGCAGCGAAACCGCGAGGUCAAGCAAAUCCCAUAAAGUUGUUCUCAGUUCGGAUUGUAGUCUGCAACUCGACUACAUGAAGCUGGAAUCGCUAGUAAUCGUAGAUCAGCAUGCUACGGUGAAUACGUUCCCGGGUCU
rnacentral:rRNA from 1 species